rnacentral:misc_RNA from 1 species
ACUGUGUCCCCACUCCCAGGUAGUGCUGACAGGUUCAGGACACCAUUGCCCCCAGACCAGAGGGGUAGUAGUAGUACAGGAGGCACAACCCCAGUCACAAGGACAGAUAGUUCCGUGGAUCCCCAGCUAGAUCCAAACUGGCGGCCUACAGGCCGUAUGCGUGGAAGCCUUUCAGGAAGAGCUUAUUCUGAAGCACUGCAACAGUUCAUACUUAAGCCAACACAGCAAGCUCAAGCUGCCAGACCAUCUAUUCCACCUAAUCUUUCACCCCAACUGCAAGUCCUUUUGGCUAAUAGAGGUGCUCAUAG